AGAAAAACGCGUGGCUGGAGAAAAAUAUGUUAAAAUGGAUAAGAUAAUACAACAAAAGGAUGAUCAAAUUAUGAAGCUGCAGGCCCAAUUAUUGGAACAACACAAAAUAUUAGAUAACAGCAAAGCUAAGGAUGUUCAAAUUUUGAUACUACAAGCUCAGCUAGGGGAAAAGAACAAAUUGGAACGGAACAGUUUCCAAACAGUGAAGGAGGUUUUUCCAAACUCAUCCCUAACUGAACAUGAGGAUGAAUUGGCAUUAGGCGAACAGUCAGUUAUUCAGUCUACCACCUGACAGUGUGUUAAAGUUAAAUUCUGUUAGUGCUGCACUAAAAGAAUUGUUAGUAAUAAGUCCAUGCAGCGAAGGAAGUGAACAAUUGUGGGACCGUAUUUGGGCUGAAAAUAGGUGUGGUACGGAAACCCAGAAAUAGCACGAGUUCAACAUAAAACAUGAAUUAGAAUUUUAGUGGGGGAUCAAGUCAAGUCUGGAAGUGUUACAGGAUGGAAGAGUGAGCCUACAGUUGAAAAACACUGAAAGUGCAUUACCAUUAAGGUAUGAGGUAAAGUAAUAGAGUAUGCAAAUUGUCUAAUGAGAAGUGCCAUCUUGUGUGAAUGAAUCCUGUGUAACAGCAAUCCUUUAUAGUUCUGUCACAGCUAGAAGCCUCAAAUAAUUCUGCUUUCAUAAUUCUACAUCAUACAUGGACUUUUAGGAAAGGAUUUUCAGCAUACUGGGAACACAACUAUCAACAAUGCAACAUUCUAGGGGUGCUAUUUUAUCAUUCAAGAGCCUUAUACAAUGAUUUUCAUCUGCAAUCUGUAUGGCCUUUCCCAAGCUUCUGCC